AUAUGUCCUUGGAGUAGAUUCAAUGAUGAAAGAUUUAUCGGUUAUGGAUGGGGAUGCGUAAGAUUAGGUAGUAGGCGGGGUAACGGCCCACCUAGCCGACGAUCUUUAGGGGUUCUGAGAGGAAGGUCCCCCACACUGGUACUGAGACACGGACCAGACUCCUACGGGAGGCAGCAGUGAGGAAUAUUGGUCAAUGGGCGGAAGCCUGAACCAGCCAAGUAGCGUGAAGGAUUACAGCCCUACGGGUUUUAAACUUCUUUUAUAUAAGAGUAAUGUGCACUACGUGUAGUGUAUUGCAAGUAUUAUAUGAAUAAGCAUCGGCUAACUCCGUG
rnacentral:rRNA from 1 species